rnacentral:rRNA from 1 species
GACGAACGCUGGCGGCGUGCUUAACACAUGCAAGUCGAACGAGUGGCGAACGGGUGAGUAAUACGUGGGUAACCUGCCCUAUUUAUGGGAUAAGCCUUGGAAACGGGGUCUAAUACCGAAUAACGGGGGAGGGGCUCGAGGCCUAUCAGCUUGUUGGGGGGGUGAUGGCCUACCAAGGCGGUGACGGGUAGCCGGCCUGAGAGGGUGACCGGGCACAGUGGGAGUGACAGACGGCCUAGGGUCGUACGGGAGGGGGCAGUGGGGGAUAUGGCACAAGGCGGGAAAGCCUGAUGCGGCGACGCCGCGGAGGGGAUGAAGGCUGUAGGGUUGUAAGCCUGUGUCGCAAUCGAACGGGUAGGUGGAGAAGAAGCGCCGGCUAACUACGUGCCAGCAGCCGCGGUAAUAC